GUGCCAGCAGCCGCGGUAAUACGGGGGGGGCAAGCGUUGUUCGGAAUUACUGGGCGUAAAGGGCUCGUAGGCGGCCAACUAAGUCGGACGUGAAAUCCCUCGGCUUAACUGAGGAACUGCGUCCGAUACUGGAUGGCUUGAGUUCGGGAGAGGGAUGUGGAAUUCCAGGUGUAGCGGUGAAAUGCGUAGAUAUCUGGAGGAACACCGGUGGCGAAGGCGGCAUCCUGGACCGACACUGACGCUGAUGAGCGAAAGCCAGGGGAGCAAACGGGAUUAGAAACCCCCGUAGUCC
rnacentral:rRNA from 1 species